UUUGAAUCAAGUGAUUUUAACCUCAGCAAAGAAUAUCUUCUCACGUGUGACGAUCAAAGGUUCAGUUUGUAUGAUCUUUGUGAGUGUACAUAUUUAUUAACCAAACCCAACUUGGGAUUAACUUGAGGACUAUGAGGACAUUAUGUCAUUUGUCAGUGACCAUAAUAAUGGGAGUGUAGCAGGUGUUAUAUGCUGCUUGCUUCAAGUUUUCAAGUUACCUUCACGUCUUUUUCCCCAACUUGAAAUUGCAAAUGCGGGUCCACUGAAUUAUGGAGUUGGAGUUUGAUAGUUUGAGCCGAAUCUGUUGGCCUUGUGUGGUUCUUUGGAGGUUCAAGUUAAAGAGAAAAGAACAAUAAAGAAGGAACAAAAAGAGCAGUUGUACCACUAUUCAAAUUUUAAUUGUGAAAGUUAAAGGGCACCUAUGGAGUUUUUGCAUUGCUUGGAAGCAGCUUAAAAAGACUUGGAACACUGCAUAUAUAUAUGACUUUUAUCAAUGUAGUUAAGGUCACUUACCCAUCCCACGUCUUUUUCUCACCCUUCCUUUUUGGCCCUUUCCCCUUUCUGGGUGGGGUUGGCCUGAAAUGGAGGACAAACAAGCCAAGGAAGGUACCUGUUCAGGGGACCAUAUAACAAUUGUAAAUACCAUCACUCAGUCAAAAAUUUUAAUUACUCACUGCAAUUGAGUUCAUUUACGAGGCAGAUGACAUUCAAUAACUUCAUUUAUACUGUAGGACUCAGUACUGUAUACACAAUGGAUUAAAAAAAUACAACCAG
rnacentral:sRNA from 1 species